GACGAACCGUGCGAACGUUAUUCGGAAUCACUGGGCUUAAAGCGCGUGUAGGCGGAUGGGAACGUCGGUCGUUGAAAUCCCCCGGCUCAACCGGGGAAUGGGCGCCGAAACGACCCGUCUGGAGGGACGUAGGGGGACCUGGAACGUGCCGGUGGAGCGGUGAAAUGCGUUGAGAUCGGAAGGAACGCCCGUGGCGAAAGCGAGGUCCUGGGACGCUACUGACGCUGAGACGCGAAAGCGAGGGGAGCGAACGGGAUGAGAACCCCG
rnacentral:rRNA from 1 species